CGCUAGCGAUAGGCUUAACACAUGCAAGUCGAGGGGCAGCAUGAUCUUAGCUUGCUAAGGUUGAUGGCGACCGGCGCACGGGUGCGUAACGCGUAUGCAACUUGCCUUACAGAGGGGGAUAACCCGUUGAAAGACGGACUAAAACCGCAUACACUUGUAUUAUUGCAUGAUAUUACAAGGAAAUAUUUAUAGCUGUAAGAUAGGCAUGCGUCCCAUUAGCUGGUUGGUGAGGUAACGGCUCACCAAGGCGACGAUGGGUAGGGGAACUGAGAGGUUUAUCCCCCACACUGGUACUGAGACACGGACCAGACUCCUACGGGAGGCAGCAGUGAGGAAUAUUGGUCAAUGGGCGAUAGCCUGAACCAGCCAAGUCGCGUGAAGGAAGACAGUCCUAAGGAUUGCAAACUUCUUUUAUACGGGAAUAACGGGCGAUACGAGUAUUGCAUUGAAUGUACCGUAAGAAUAAGCAUCGGCUAACUCCGUGCCAGCAGCCGCGGUAAUACGGAGGAUGCGAGCGUUAUCCGGAUUUAUUGGGUUUAAAGGGUGCGUAGGUUGUUCGGUAAGUCAGCGGUGAAACCUGAGCGCUCAACGUUCAGCCUGCCGUUGAAACUGCCGGGCUUGAGUUCAGUGGCGGCAGGCGGAAUUCGUGGUGUAGCGGUGAAAUGCAUAGAUAUCACGAGGAACUCCGAUUGCGAAGGCAGCUUGCCAUACUGCGACUGACACUGAGGCACGAAGGCGUGGGUAUCAAACAGGAUUAGAUACCCUGGUAGUCCACGCAGUAAACGAUGAUUACUAGGAGUUUGCGAUAUACCGUCAAGCUUCCACAGCGAAAGCGUUAAGUAAUCCACCUGGGGAGUACGCCGGCAACGGUGAAACUCAAAGGAAUUGACGGGGGCCCGCACAAGCGGAGGAACAUGUGGUUUAAUUCGAUGAUACGCGAGGAACCUUACCCGGGAUUGAAAUGUAGAUGACGGAUGGUGAAAACCGUCUUCCCUUCGGGGCUUCUAUGUAGGUGCUGCAUGGUUGUCGUCAGCUCGUGCCGUGAGGUGUCGGCUUAAGUGCCAUAACGAGCGCAACCCACAUCGGUAGUUGCUAACAGUUUUCGCUGAGGACUCUACCGAGACUGCCGUCGUAAGGCGUGAGGAAGGUGUGGAUGACGUCAAAUCAGCACGGCCCUUACAUCCGGGGCGACACACGUGUUACAAUGGGAGGGACAAAGGGCAGCUACCGGGCGACCGGAUGCGAAUCUCUAAACCCUUCCCCAGUUCGGAUCGGAGUCUGCAACUCGACUCCGUGAAGCUGGAUUCGCUAGUAAUCGCGCAUCAGCCAUGGCGCGGUGAAUACGUUCCCGGGCCUUGUACACACCGCCCGUCAAGCCAUGGGAGUCGGGGGUACCUGAAGGGCGUAACCGCAAGGGGCGCACUAGGGUAAUACCGGUGACUGGG
rnacentral:rRNA from 1 species